CCUACGGGUGGCAGCAGUAGGGAAUCUUCCACAAUGGGCGAAAGCCUGAUGGAGCAACGCCGCGUGUGUGAAGAAGGUCUUCGGAUCGUAAAACCCUGUUGUUAGAGAAGAAAGUGCGUGCGAGUACCUGUUCCCGUUUCGCCGGUAUCUAACCAGAAAGCCACGGCUAACUACGUGCCAGCAGCCGCGGUAAUAAGUAGGUGGCAAGCGUUAUCCGGAUUUAUUGGGCGUAAAGGUAACGCAGGCGGUCUUUUAAGUCGGAUGUGAAAGCCUUCGGCUUAACCGGAGUAGUGCAUUGGAAACUGGGAGACUUGAGUGCAGAAGAGGAGAGUGGAACUCCAUGUGUAGCGGUGAAAUGCGUAGAUAUAUGGAAGAACCCCGAUUGCGAAGGCAGCAUACCGGUGCACAACUGACGCUCAGGCACGAAAGCGUGGGUAUCGAACAGGAUUAGAUACCCGAGUAGGC
rnacentral:rRNA from 1 species